CCUUGCCUCUGAUACCCAUGCAUCUGGAAAGAUAGCUGUGCUGCACCAGAAACAAAACGGUGGCAGCAGUUGGUUGGAGAACAAGGUGGGACGGGGCAGUCGAGGCAGCAGGCUGGUAUCACGGGUCCUUGUCUUGCUGAGAAGAGUCUUAGAAGAUACUCUGAUGCUCACCUCAUGACAGGACAUCAUCAGGGGAGCCAGCACGUAGUUAAGACCCUGCGGUUCUUGUUCUGGAGUUUACACCGCAUCGGAGGAGACAGGAGGACCCCACCCAGGAGGAGAGAAGGUUGGGAGUGGGGGUCCCGGACCUGUGGGGCGGAAGACAAGAGGAAGCUCUUGCUCCCCAAGCAUCACCCCUAUUUCUAGCCCACGUUUGUAUCCUAUGCCUUCCUUCCAAGUUUCUGUACAGAAGCGAGAGAUGUCUUGGGCCCUCUGGAUGCACUGAGACAUUGGAGAAAACAGAUCCAAGAGGUGAGCUUGAAGAGCAGAAAGGGGCUAGGAGGAGUUUGUCUGGGAAAGAACAGACUUAAUUGGCACUAGAGCGCUCCCCUUAUAGAAGCACAGGGAUCUUUGGCUUUAAGAACUAGGGAAGCCUGAUGGGUAGGGCCAGAUUUUUCCAGGCUGGCCACCUCCAGGGGAGCUCACUGAUGAUUAUUCCCUGGGACCUCUGCCUCUGACGUCCUGCCCCCCGCAGUGAGCCACUGCCAAGCCCUGCUUUUCCAGGAUAUCAUCCAAGAUCUAUAGGAUAUUACUCCUUUUAGCUGGCAUUCUGGAAGAGCAUAUCAAAUCCAGAAAAGCCAGGCUCUUUGUUCCUGUCCACAACAACAUGCCCUCUGGAAUAAACAACACAAAGAAAUGGAAGAUGGAGUUUGG
rnacentral:lncRNA from 1 species